AAAAACUGAAUGGUUGAAAUGACCAAAAAAAAAGGUUGCAACCAUUUAAAAUGGUUGUUUCAACCAAUUAAAUUGGUUAAAACCAAAUUAAAAUGGUAGAAAUAACCAAUAAAAAAUUGGUAAAAUGGAUAUGAAAGCUCAUAUUGGUAAAAACAACCAAAUAUAUUUAGUAGCAACAAAUAAAAUUUGGUUAAAUUUACCAAUUACUCUUUGUGGUCAAUGGGGUAUAUUUGUAGACUUCUGGUUCUAUGUUCUAUUGAAUCCAAUAAAAUAUGCUAGAAUGCUAUAGCACAUUCUAAAUCCUAUGGCUAUAGAAUAUUCUAUAGGACUUCUUAUGAUCUUAUGCUAUAUAGAAUUCCAUUGCCGUAUUCUAUAGAAUUCACAAAUCCUAUAGAAUUUACAAAUCCUAUAGAAUAUUAAAUCUUAAAAUUAAAUUUCUCAGCAAAAAUCACUCGUUUUGUAAGGACAAAUCACACAUGCAUGUAUCUGUAAACUGUCUUCAUAAUAUACCUGUUCGCAGGUUACGUGGCGGGCGUUUUGCCCAAAGAGGACCGCAAGGUUAUGUGGGACUUGUAUAACCGACACGCGUUAUUUUCAAAUUUUGAGCGCGUCUUUGACUCUUUGUCAUCGGUUCAAGGUUUUAUAGUAGAAUUUAGUGAGUUUUUCUUUCGUAUUUUAACAUAAAAUACGCGUUAUUUGAAUUUGUCAAUGAGUAGUCAUGCGAAAUUGGUGAAACACGCUGGAUUAAUAUGCGAGGAGAUCCGGAUUAUUUGUGAAUAGUGACUGUGAUCGCGAGGAAGAAGUAAUUGUGUCAUGGCCAUGUGGAAUUUCUAAAGUUGAUAAGAAAAUAAUCAAAGGUUCCAUUCAACUAUCUACAAUUUCAACAACAACAUGUGUACAGCUAAAGUAUUAUAAUUCAGUGGCUUCAAGAUCACCUUUAAGUGCAAGAUUCUUGUGACUGAUGCUGAAUCAGAAAUCCUCAAAUUCUGAUGCUGAAUCAGAAAUCCUCAAAUUCUGAUGCUGAAUCAGAAAUGGCAAGUAUUAUUGUAUUUAUGCUGUCAAAACUCAACAACUGUAAAUCCUACUUCUGGUGAAUCAUAUAGAUAAUAUAAUAUACCUUUUAUUUAUAUCAUUAUAAAUAGGGCCAUUACAACUAUUUCUGUCAAUGCUUUUGCAGUACAUUUAUAAAUUCUAUAGCUAUAUCAUGGCAUCAUGCUAAGAAUGAAUAAGGUGUCAAAUGUUUAAAUUUCAUAUUUACUGUUAAAAUUUACAGAUUUUCUUAUAUCCAAACAUAUUAACCAAAGGUCAAAAUUUGGUUUAUGCAAUUAUGGGCAUGUCAAGGAUGCAAGAACAACUUUGCUCUCAUUCCAUCCCUGGGAAACUUUCAAAUUAUGCCUUUAAAGAAAAGGAUGCAAAACCCCAACUCGACCCAGAGAAAGUUAAGAGUAUAUGUGAGCAUCAUUUCGAUGCACAUGGUUAAGAUGCCCAAACAUUGAUUCAAAGAAGCCAUCAAUGCUGGCUGUUCUGGAAAAGAACAAGAACAAAGAUGUCCAACACAUUAUUGGUCUAUUAGAGGAUUGUCACCCGAACUAGAAAAAGGAUGACAGUGGUGUUGAAAUUUAGACCAUUGUAAAAAAAGAACAUUCCCGAAGUUGCUAUUAACUGGAUCUCUUGGUUACAUCCAUUCACUGGACCUUUUGGCUGAAGGCAUGGUAGCAAUAAAGUUUAAGCAGUUUUCCAUCUUAAAUGCUGUUGUGUGUUUGCUGACUGCAUUGUAUGUAUCCAACGCAGAGAACCCUAAAGAUGGAGGUGGGUAGACAAAGAAUGUGUUCCUUCUUCUGGACCAGAUAUUACUACAAACAAACGGAAAAACGAACAUUCCAAUUGGAGUUAAAAACUUUUUACCGCAGCUUUGAGAACCUGGAAAUGACUUAAGUAUAGAUAGAUGAAUCCUAGUAAGAUAAGUGUUUGAAUGUAGUACUUUGUAUAUAUGUAUAAAUGCAAAUAACCAUUAGGAUAAUUUAUUUAUUAUAUUAGAUCUUUUAUAAUACAUAUGUGUGUUUUGACAAAAUUUGAUUUGAAGUGCUCUGAAUUUCAGGAUAAUUUAACCAAUCCUUAAUUGGUUGAAAUAAUUGGUCAAAAAAACCAUUGCACAUUGGUUACAUUAACCAAAUUCAAUAUAGGUUACAUCAACCUAUUAAAUAUUGGUAGAUUCAACCAAUAUUAAUAUUGGUAAUUUUAACCAAAACGAAUUUGGUAAAAAAAUAACCAAAUUUUAAUUGGUUGUCCUGGUUGCAUCCAGGAGAACCUUUUUUUUUUGGUUGUUUCAACCAUUCAUUUUUU
rnacentral:lncRNA from 1 species